rnacentral:ncRNA from 1 species
CUAACAUGUGCACGAGUCGAUGGGUCUUGAUUAGGCCCAGAGGCGCAAUGAAAGCAAAGGGCAGCAGAAUGCCGUCUGAGUUGGGAUCCUGGGGCUUCCUGCAUCCAAAGAGCACCAACGACCCGUCCUGUCCGAUUUAUCUGGGUUGGGUGGAGUAUGGGCGUACAUGUUGGGACACGAAAGAUGGUGAACUAUGCCCAGGCAGGACAAGGCCAAAGGAAACUCUGGUGGAGAUCUGUAGUGGUUCUGACAUUCAAAUCGAUCGUCAGAUCCUGGCCUAGGGGCGAAAGACUAAUGGUAUCGUCUAAUAGCUGG